UACGUAGGGGGCAAGCGUUGUCCGGAAUCAUUGGGCGUAAAGAGCGCGUAGGCGGCCCAGUAAGUCCGCUCUGAAAGUCAGGGGCUCAACCCCUGAAUGCGGGUGGAUACUGCUGGGCUAGAGUCCGGAAGAGGAGAGUGGAAUUCCUGGUGUAGCGGUGAAAUGCGCAGAUAUCAGGAAGAACACCUAUGGCGAAGGCAGCGUCUCUGGGACGGUACUGACGCUGAGACGCGAAAGCGUGGGGAGCGAACAGG
rnacentral:rRNA from 1 species